rnacentral:rRNA from 1 species
AGAGUUUGAUCAUGGCUCAGAUUGAACGCUGGCGGCAGGCCUAACACAUGCAAGUCGAGCGGUAGCACAAGAGAGCUUGCUCUCUGGGUGACGAGCGGCGGACGGGUGAGUAAUGUCUGGGAAACUGCCUGAUGGCGGGGGAUAACUAGUGGAAACGGUAGCUAAUACCGCAUAACGUCGCAAGACCAAAGUGGGGGACCUUCGGGCCUCACGCCAUCAGAUGUGCCCAGGUGGGAUUAGCUGGUAGGUGGGGUAACGGCUCACCUAGGCGACGAUCCCUAGCUGGUCUGAGAGGAUGACCAGCCACACUGGAACUGAGACACGGUCCAGACUCCUACGGGAGGCAGCAGUGGGGAAUAUUGCACAAUGGGCGCAAGCCUGAUGCAGCCAUGCCGCGUGUGUGAAGA